CGUGUAGGCGGCCGAUUAAGUCUGGAGUGGAAGUCCUGCUUUCAAGGUGGGAACUGCCUUGGAGACUGGUUGGCUUGAGUGCGGAAGAGGUAAGUGGAAUUCCCAGUGUAGCGGUGAAAUGCGUAGAGAUUGGGAAGAACACCAGUGGCGAAGGCGACUUACUGGGCCGUAACUGACGCUGAGGCGCGAAAGCGUGGGGAGCGAACA
rnacentral:rRNA from 1 species